rnacentral:rRNA from 1 species
CCUACGGGGGGCAGCAGUGGGGAAUAUUGCACAAUGGGGGACACCCUGAUGCAGCAACGCCGCGUGAGUGACGAAGUAUUUCGGUAUGUAAAGCUCUAUCAGCAAGGAAGCAGAAAGACGGUACCUGACUAAGAAGCGCCGGCUAAGUACGUGCCAGCAGCCGCGGUAAUACGUAGGGGGCAAGCGUUAUCCGAAUUUACUGGGUUUAAAGGGAGCGUAGACGGCUUGGCAAGGUGGAAGUGAAAGCCCGUGGCUCAACCGCGGAACUGCUUUGGCAACUGUAUAGCUUGAGUACUGGAGAGGCAGGCGGAAUUCCGAGUGUAGCGGUGAAAUGCGUAGAUAUUAGGAGGAACACCAGUGGCGAAGGCGGCCUGCUGGACAGAAACUGACGUUGAGGCUCGAAAGCGUGGGGAGCAAACAGGAUUAGAUACCCCAGUAGUC